rnacentral:lncRNA from 10 species
CAAGUAGCCAGGACUACAGGUUGGCAUCAUCAUGUCUGGCUAAUUUUUCUAUUUUUUUUUUUUUAGAGAUGGGGGUCUCUUUAUGCUGCCCAGGCUUGUCUCAAACUCCUGGGGGCUCAAGAGAUCCUCCUGCUUUUGGCGUCCCAAAGUGCUGAGAUUACAGGCGUGAGCUACUGAGCCUGGCCUACGAACAGCAUAUUAAAUUCUAACAUCGGCACAGAAUGAUACUCAAGAUUAUUUUUAAGUUGUCUGCCUCAGUGACAACGUAACAGUAUCAAAAUUUCCAAUAAAAAAAUCAAUUAGGCACAGUGGCUCACACUUGUAAUCUUCAUUUUGGGAGGCCAAGGUGGGGCCAUUGCUUGAAGCCAGGAGUACGAGACCAGCCGGGGCAACACAGAAAGACCAUGUCUCUACAAAAAAAUCUAAAAAUUAGCUGGACAUGGUGGUGUGCACCUGUGGUCCCAGCUACUUGGGAGGCUGAAGUGGGAGCAUCAUUUGAAUCCAAGAGGUCUAGGCUGCAGUGAGCCAUGAUCAUACUCUCACACUCCAGCCUAGGUAACACAGCCAAGACCCUGAAUAAAUAAAUAAAUGAAUCAAUGACUGAAUGAAUAUAAAAAAAACAACCUAGCCCUCUCUUUCAACAUUUACUUCUAACAGGAGUUUGUUUUAAAAGCAAAUAUCAAGUACACAGUUAGAUGGGAUACACAUUCAAUCAUAAACCUAAGUGAGCAAAAAUCCCAAGGAUCUAUAAAACUAUCAAAGGCAACAUAAAAGGCUUACCUGGCAAAUUGCUGUUUCUGUUUGUUGUUUUUUGUAGACAGAGUCUUGCUCUGGCGCCCAGGCUGGAGUGCAGUGGUGUGAUCUUCGCUCACCGCAGCCUCUGCCUCCCAAGCUCAAGCAAUCCUCCCACCUCAGCCUCCCGAGUAGCUGGGACUACAGGCAUGUGCCACCAUGCCUGGCUAAAUUUGUGUGUGUGUGUGUGUGUGUGUGUGUGUGUUUGUAGAGACAGAGUUUCACCGUGUGUGUGUGUGUGUGUUUGUAGAGACAGAGUUUCACCAUUUCGGCCAGGCUGGCCUCAAACUCCUGAGCUAAAGCAAUCCGCCUGCCUUGGCCUCCUAAAGUGCUGGGAUUACAAGCCUCAGUCACCACGCGUGGUCUGCUUUCUUAUUUUAUAAAACACUGUGAUAAUUUUUUUCUUAUAUAAUUUUUAUUUUUUUCAACUUUCAUUUUUAGACUUAGGGGAUAGAUGUGCAGGUUUGAUUCCUGGGUAUACUGCAUGAUGUGAUCAUUUUUAGACCUGAAAACUUUUUGUUGGAAACCCACAAUCAGUGUACCUAAUGCAAAGGAACAUUACAUCAUGCUCUAAAAACAAAUAUUUGAGAUUAUGAAAACCUGUAAUAUUUGUUGAAAGAAGAAGACAUAAUUGCAAAUGUAAACAUAAGACGCGGGAAGAAAAACUAAGUAAGAAGUACAUGGAGGCCAAGCACGGUAGUUCACGCCUGUAAUCCCAGCACUUUGGGAUGCCGUGGGGAACAGAUAACCUGAGGUCAGGAGUUCGAGAGCAGCCUGGACAAAAUAGCGAAACCAUGUCUCUACUAGAAAUACAAAAUCAGCUGGGUGUGGUGGCAUGGACCUGUAGUCCCAGAUACUCAGGAGGCUGAGGCAGGAGAAGCACUUGAACCUGGGAGGCGGAGGUUGCCGUGAGGCGACACUGGCCCACUGCACUCCAGCCUGGGCGACCAGAGUGAAACUCUGUCUCAAAAAAAAAAAAAAAAAAAAAAAAAAACAUGGAAAAGACUUUAUCUUUUUCAUGCCAUCUGUAAGUCUUCUACCUUGCAUAGAACUUUGGUAAAAGUAUUUUAUACGUAAUUAAUUAGGCAUAAUAUUCAAGAAAGCAGACUUAUUCUCCUCCUUCCCUACAACACACUUGAAUAUAAAAAAAAAGUAGGCUAGAAUUGCCACAACUGGCUUGGACUUGAGGCUCUCAAGUUUUGCACGUGGGCCUUCAAAAACAAAAUAUAAUUUCCAAACUCUUUAUUAUGUGGUUUACAGAGCAUC